UACGUAGGUGGCGAGCGUUGUCCGGAUUUACUGGGUGUAAAGGGUGCGUAGGCGGGUAAGCAAGUCAGAUGUGAAAUACCGGGGCUCAACUCCGGGGCUGCAUUUGAAACUGCAUAUCUUGAGUGCAGGAGAGGAAAGUGGAAUUCCUAGUGUAGCGGUGAAAUGCGUAGAGAUUAGGAGGAACACCAGUGGCGAAGGCGACUUUCUGGACUGUAACUGACGCUGAGGCACGAAAGUGUGGGGAGCGAACAGGAUUAGAUACCCUGGUAGUCCACACUGUAAACGAUGGAUACUAGGUGUAGGGGGUAUCGACCCCUUCUGUGCCGGAGUUAACACAAUAAGUAUCCCACCUGGGGAGUACGGCCGCAAGGUUGAA
rnacentral:rRNA from 1 species